rnacentral:lncRNA from 1 species
CCAGGGCCGUCCCCAUACCCCGUCCGGUAUGGGCGCCAAAACCAUGAACCUCAAUACCCCGUCCGGUAUGAGGGUGAAACGGGCCGUCCCCAUACCCCGUCCGGUAUGGGCGCCAAAACCAUAAGAUCUCCAUACCCCGUCCGGCAUGUGAGACCACAAUCCCGGUAGGGUUCCCUACGGACCCGGUCCGUCCACCAUCUCCCAGGAUAUCUAGUCAGGCUGACCCCAUCAUACAAUUAUCAGUCUAUAAAUGUUUCAUUUCCCUUUUUCCUCAAUAAGCAUCAUCAAUUC